GACGAACGCUGGCGGCGUGCUUAACACAUGCAAGUCGAACGGAAAGGCCCUGCUUUUGUGGGGUGCUCGAGUGGCGAACGGGUGAGUAACACGUGAGUAACCUGCCCUUGACUUUGGGAUAACUUCAGGAAACUGGGGCUAAUACCGGAUAGGAGCUCCUGCUGCAUGGUGGGGGUUGGAAAGUUUCGGCGGUUGGGGAUGGACUCGCGGCUUAUCAGCUUGUUGGUGGGGUAGUGGCUUACCAAGGCUUUGACGGGUAGCCGGCCUGAGAGGGUGACCGGCCACAUUGGGACUGAGAUACGGCCCAGACUCCUACGGGAGGCAGCAGUGGGGAACAUUGCACAAUGGGCGGAAGCCUGAUGCAGAAACGCCGCGUGCGGGAUGACGGGCUUCGGGUUGUAAACCGCUUUCGCCUGUGACGAAGCGUGAGUGACGGUAAUGGGUAAAGAAGCACCGGCUAACUACGUG
rnacentral:rRNA from 1 species